rnacentral:lncRNA from 1 species
GUGAUCUUUACUCCUGGUGUCACACCCCUGAGGGCCUCCCUCCUACACUGAAUUAGGGCUGCCACUGUCCCUCAUACUUGCCUGUGACCCUGCCUUUGGAGGACACGUUUCUGCAGCUCAGCCUUGGCACCCCUUUGCACAAGCUGGUGGCAUUGGCCCCUCUGCUGACUUUUUUUUUCAAAACAGAUUAAGCCACAGUUGUUCAUCUGUUCAACAAAGUCUACCCGCUGUGCCGUCUGUGGCUCUCCAAGGGCUGGGGUGUUGAAGAAAACCUGCUGGCUGUGAAACAGAAGGGGAGUUGUUUUAUUUCAUGCCGGUACUUUUCAGGGUGAGCAAGCAUAUUUCUUCUGAAAAAAAAAAAAAAGGGUGGCGAAGACUUAAUUCCUUGAUCCCUUAAAUUGAAGAGGAAAAAAAGCACAUGCAAUUUUCCUCAUACAAGGUGGUGAUAUUUUCCCUAAAGGGUCACAGACUGCCCCAGAAAGAAAAAACCAAAUUUGACCCUCGGCAUUCCCUGUGAGGAGAGUUGGGUGUUUGCCCAGGAAGUUCAGAGCAGCAGCCAAGAUUCACUCACACCUGGGAUAUACAACCUCGUGGAGAAGGGGCAGGAAGCAGCCUGGCAUUUAUUGAAGACCUACUGUGCGCCAGGCACUGUGCUGGCACUUCCACCAUUAUUACAUUCAUAUCACAAUAACUCCAUGAAGCGGCGCCUACUGUUUUGCCCUUCUUACAGAAGGGAACUAAACCUCUGAGCGGUUAAGUAUUUCACCUGAAGUCAUACUGUAUGCACACCCCAAUACGUAGUGACUGAAAACAACACUUUAUUAUUAUGGCUUAUGGUUCUCUGGAGCUUGGUCCCGUG